UACGUAGGGUGCAAGCGUUGUCCGGAAUUAUUGGGCGUAAAGAGCUCGUGGGCGGUUUGUCGCGUCGAAUGUGAAAACCCGGGGCUCAACCCCGGGCCUGCAUUCGAUACGGGCAGACUAGAGUUCGGUAGGGGAGUCUGGAAUUCCUGGUGUAGCGGUGAAAUGCGCAGAUAUCAGGAGGAACACCGGUGGCGAAGGCAGGUCUCUGGGCAUUAACUGACGCUGAGGAGCGAAAGCAUGGGGAGCGAACAGG
rnacentral:rRNA from 1 species